UGAAGGGUGACAGGAAGGGGGCAGGAGCGCCUAGGGUGCUCUGAUGGGGCGUGUGGCGGCAGGAUUGUAAAGCGCUCUUCCUUGGAUUGCCUGCCCUGGGUGACCUCCUGGACCUGCCCUGGCGGAAUCCGGACUUGCCCCGCCGAGAUGACGAGGAAUAAUUCUGCUACAGGGCUGACUUCAAGGACGUGAAUUGUUGACCUCAUCCCACCUUCAGAACCUCAGCUGUUAUUCUAAUUUUUGCACCAUUCCAGGCAAGUUGACUUUAUAUGGAAAUAAAAUUGAACCUUAGGGGUCUGAUGGAAAUUCACUGUGACAUUCAAAUCAAGAAAACUUGCUGAAACCCACAGAACCUUUUCCCCCAUGGGCCCUGAUGGUAGCCUCCAGAAGGUGCAGCCUCUGGUGGUCCCCCUUCUUCUGUGGCAAGAAUAAACUUUGGGUCUUGGGUUGCAACACCACCUGUGGAGAAAAUGGUAUGUGAGGGAAAGCGAUCAGCCUCUUGCCCUUGUUUCUUCCUCCUGACCGCCAAGUUCUACUGGAUCCUCACAAUGAUGCAAAGAACUCACAGCCAGGAGUAUGCCCAUUCCAUACGAGUGGAUGGGGACAUCAUUUUGGGGGGUCUCUUCCCUGUCCAUGCGAAGGGAGAGAGAGGGGUACCUUGUGGGGAACUGAAGAAGGAAAAGGGGAUCCACAGACUGGAGGCCAUGCUUUAUGCAAUCGACCAGAUUAAUAAGGACCCUGAUCUCCUCUCCAAUAUCACUCUGGGUGUCCGGAUCCUUGACACAUGCUCCAGGGACACCUAUGCUUUGGAGCAGUCAUUAACGUUCGUGCAGGCAUUGAUAGAGAAAGACGCUUCUGACGUGAAGUGUGCUAAUGGAGAUCCACCCAUUUUCACCAAGCCUGACAAGAUUUCUGGUGUCAUAGGUGCUGCAGCGAGCUCCGUGUCCAUCAUGGUUGCUAACAUUUUAAGACUUUUCAAGAUACCUCAAAUCAGCUAUGCAUCCACAGCCCCAGAGCUAAGUGAUAACACCAGGUAUGACUUCUUCUCUCGGGUAGUCCCACCUGACUCCUACCAAGCGCAAGCCAUGGUGGACAUUGUCACGGCACUGGGGUGGAAUUAUGUGUCAACACUGGCUUCUGAGGGCAACUAUGGAGAGAGUGGUGUGGAGGCCUUCACUCAGAUCUCGAGGGAGAUUGGUGGUGUUUGCAUUGCUCAAUCACAGAAAAUCCCACGUGAACCAAGACCUGGAGAAUUUGAAAAAAUUAUCAAACGCCUGCUAGAAACACCUAAUGCUCGGGCGGUGAUUAUGUUUGCCAAUGAAGAUGACAUCAGGAGGAUAUUGGAAGCAGCAAAGAAGUUAAACCAAAGUGGCCAUUUUCUCUGGAUUGGCUCAGAUAGUUGGGGAUCCAAAAUAGCACCUGUUUAUCAACAGGAGGAGAUUGCAGAAGGGGCUGUGACAAUUUUGCCCAAAAGAGCAUCAAUUGAUGGGUUUGAUCGCUAUUUUAGAAGCCGAACUCUUGCCAAUAAUCGAAGAAAUGUGUGGUUUGCAGAAUUUUGGGAGGAGAAUUUUGGAUGCAAGUUAGGAUCACAUGGAAAGAGGAACAGUCACAUAAAGAAAUGUACAGGGCUGGAGCGAAUUGCAAGGGAUUCAUCUUAUGAACAGGAAGGAAAGGUCCAGUUUGUAAUUGAUGCAGUGUAUUCCAUGGCUUAUGCUCUGCACAAUAUGCACAAAGAUCUCUGCCCUGGAUACAUUGGCCUCUGCCCACGAAUGAGUGCUGUUGAUGGCAAAGAGCUCCUUGGUUAUAUUCGGGCUGUAAAUUUUAAUGGUAGUGCUGGGACACCUGUCACUUUUAAUGAAAACGGAGAUGCUCCUGGACGUUAUGAUAUCUUUCAGUAUCAAAUAACCAACAAAAGUGCAGAAUACAAAAUCAUUGGGCACUGGACCAAUCAGCUUCACCUAAAAGUGCAAGACAUGCAGUGGGCUGAUGGAGAACACACUCACCCGGCGUCUGUCUGCAGCCUGCCCUGCAGGCCUGGGGAGAGGAAGAAAACGGUCAAAGGAGUCCCUUGCUGCUGGCAUUGUGAGCGGUGUGAAGGUUACAACUACCAGGUGGACGAGCUCUCCUGUGAACUUUGCCCUCUGGAUCAGAGACCAAACAUCAACCGCACAGGCUGCCAGCUUAUCCCCAUCAUCAAACUAGAAUGGCAUUCCCCCUGGGCUGUGGUGCCUGUGUUUGUUGCAAUACUGGGCAUCAUUGCUACCACCUUUGUGAUCGUGACCUUUGUCCGCUAUAAUGACACACCUAUUGUAAGGGCUUCCGGACGAGAACUUAGUUAUGUGCUCCUAACAGGGAUUUUCCUCUGUUAUUUGAUCACCUUCUUAAUGAUUGCGGCGCCAGAUACAGUCGUAUGUUCCUUCCGCCGGAUCUUUCUAGGACUUGGCAUGUGUUUCAGCUACGCAGCCCUUCUUACCAAAACAAACAGGAUCCACCGAAUAUUUGAGCAGGGGAAGAAAUCAGUCACAGCACCCAAGUUUAUUAGUCCAGCAUCCCAGCUGGUGAUCACUUUCAGCCUCAUCUCGGUCCAGCUCCUAGGAGUGUGCGUCUGGUUUGUUGUGGACCCCCCCCACAUCAUCAUUGACUAUGGAGAGCAGCGGACUCUAGACCCGGAGAACGCCAGGGGAGUGCUCAAGUGUGACAUUUCUGAUCUCUCGCUCAUUUGUUCGCUAGGGUACAGUAUCCUCUUGAUGGUCACUUGUACUGUUUAUGCCAUUAAAACGAGAGGUGUCCCCGAGACUUUCAACGAAGCCAAACCUAUUGGAUUUACCAUGUAUACCACCUGCAUCAUUUGGUUAGCUUUCAUUCCCAUCUUUUUUGGUACAGCACAGUCAGCAGAAAAGAUGUACAUCCAGACAACAACACUUACUGUCUCCAUGAGUUUAAGUGCUUCGGUGUCUCUGGGCAUGCUGUAUAUGCCCAAGGUUUAUAUUAUAAUUUUUCAUCCAGAGCAGAACGUUCAAAAACGCAAGAGGAGCUUCAAGGCCGUGGUAACGGCUGCCACCGUGCAAAGCAAACUGAUCCAGAAAGGAAAUGACAGACCAAAUGGAGAGGUGAAAAGUGAACUCUGUGAGAGUCUUGAAACCAACAGUAAGUCAUCUGUAGACUUUCCGAUGGUCAAGAGCGGGAGCACUUCCUAACAGAUGUUCCCUGAAGAGGAAUAGUCCCAGCACUGAUAAAGACUAAUCCCAUAUUUAAUAGAACUUCCUCUACUAAGACAACAUAUAUCAGCUACAGCAAUCAUUCAAUCUGAAACAGGGAAAUGGUACAAUAUGAAGAAAUCUGGUAUGUGAUCUUAAACAAUAAACAUGACAUCGCCAAAACUCACUCCUGGAGAUCUCUGUAGACUACAAUCAAUCAAAUCAAUAGUCAAUCUUGUAAGGAACACAAAGUAGCCAUGAGCCAAAAGUAUCAAUAACAGAGUGAAAAAAAAACCCAUUUUAUACAGUACAACCAAUGAGUGUCAAGCUAAAGUAUUGCUUACUCAUAAGCAGUUAAAAAAAAAAAAUCACAAAAGGAAAACUAAUGUUAGCUUGUGAAAAAAAAAUGCUGUUGAAAUAAACCAUGUCUGAUGUUAUUCUUGUAUUUUUCUGUGAUUGUGAGAACUCCCGUUCCUGUCCCACCUUGUUCAACUUGUAUAAGACAAUGAAUAUGUUUCUUGUAAUGGCUGACUGGAUUGAAGCCCUGGGUUGUGCUAAAAAUAAAUGCAAUGGUU